GAUGAACGCUGGUGGCGUGCCUAAUACAUGCAAGUCGAGCGAACAGAUAAGGAGCUUGCUCCUUUGACGUUAGCGGCGGACGGGUGAGUAACACGUGGAUAACCUACCUAUAAGACUGGGAUAACUUCGGGAAACCGGAGCUAAUACCGGAUAACAUAUUGAACCGCAUGGUUCAAUAGUGAAAGGCGGCUUUGCUGUCACUUAUAGAUGGAUCCGCGCCGUAUUAGCUAGUUGGUAAGGUAACGGCUUACCAAGGCAACGAUACGUAGCCGACCUGAGAGGGUGAUCGGCCACACUGGAACUGAGACACGGUCCAGACUCCUACGGGAGGCAGCAGUAGGGAAUCUUCCGCAAUGGGCGAAAGCCUGACGGAGCAACGCCGCGUGAGUGAUGAAGGUCUUCGGAUCGUAAAACUCUGUUAUCAGGGAAGAACAAAUGUGUAAGUAACUGUGCACAUCUUGACGGUACCUGAUCAGAAAGCCACGGCUAACUACGU
rnacentral:rRNA from 1 species